CUGUAUGUUCCACUCCGAUCUUGAACGUUAUAUGUAGGGUAGCUGUGUAUAUGUUAUUGCUUUUGGCUUCCUUGGUAACCAUAAACAGGGGUUCAUGGUUGGGAGGAUCUCAAUUAUUAUAGGUGGCCGCCCAUUUACUUCAGGUGUUUUCAAUGUGUGUUCUUUUGGGUAUAUAAGGAUAGGAUUUGGUUCUCUCAACAGGCUCCCUUGAUAAAGGCAUUUUGCCGAAACGUUGGGGGCUUUUUGAUUGACUCUGUCCCUGCUUCUCACUAGGUCUGGUAUGCUUUUUGUAUUUUUUCUAUAUGUAUUUGUUUUUGUGCGGUUGGAUUGUAUUGGUAUCUCAUUUAGUUACUUAUGAUACUG